UCGGGAAUUUUGGACAAUGGGCGAAAGCCUGAUCCAGCCAUGCCGCGUGAGUGAAGAAGGCCUUCGGGUUGUAAAGCUCUUUUAGUCGGAAAGAAAGAGUUGCAAUGAAUAAUUGUGAUUUAUGACGGUACCGACAGAAAAAGCACCGGCUAACUACGUGCCAGCAGCCGCGGUAAUACGUAGGGUGCGAGCGUUAAUCGGAAUUACUGGGCGUAAAGGGUGCGCAGGCGGUCUUGCAAGUCAGAUGUGAAAGCCCCGGGCUUAACCUGGGAAUUGCGUUUGAAACUACAAGACUAGAGUGCAGCAGAGGGGAGUGGAAUUCCAUGUGUAGCAGUGAAAUGCGUAGAGAUGCGGAAGAACACCGAUGGCGAAGGCAGCUCCCUGGGUUGACACUGACGCUCAUGCACGAAAGCGUGGGGAGCAAACA
rnacentral:rRNA from 1 species